rnacentral:lncRNA from 1 species
AGUAUUGCAGCAGGUGUACCCUCACUGUGAUAUUGUUCGUAAUAUCUAAGGGACGUUACUCCCAAUAUCACAGAGGGUGUACCCCCUCUGUUAUAUGGUUCAUAACAUACAAGAGGGGAGAUGACGGUACUUCCAGUAUCACAGUGGGUGUACCCCCUCUGUGGUAUGGUUCUUGUAGUAUAAAAUGGGGGAGAAGACUUUACUCCCAAUAUAACAGGGGAUGUAAGGAAUGCCAUGAGAAAAUGGCACUGCAUUUACCAAGUCACCACCAGAUUCUUGUGCAACGAUAAAGUUUGGGACUAUGUAUUAACAAUUUCAUAAAUAAAUAAUCAACAAUUUUCUUUCC